rnacentral:lncRNA from 1 species
AUGUACUUGAUAAAUGUUACUUGUCAUCAUAGAUCACCUUCCCUUUGCAGCACUGACAUAGAAGAAAGUUGUCACUUGGUUGAAACCAGCAUCAUGGAGGAAGAGGAAACUCCAGAUGACAUUGAGAGGAGUCAUGCUUCAGCAUCCGCAUCAACUGACUGUGAGGAGGCCUCACUGCAGACCACUAGAGUUCACCUGAAGCGCAAAGACGAGGAAGAGGUCCUGAAGAGUCAAUGUGCUGAAGAAGGUGUGAUUUCAGAGGGUUAUAAUGGUGAUACAGUGAGCGAAGCCGAGGCAGAAAACCCACAAGAGCAUUUACUCAUGGCCUGUCAUAUUGUUUCCUGUGCUGAAGAGCCAGAGAACAUAGUCAAUGAGCGAUUAGAGGAAGUUUCUAGAGAUUCAGCUGGGGAUGUAAAAGAGCAUCCUGAAAAAAGUGCUAAGAGGGAUAGAGCGGGAGAGAAGGAAAAUGGAGAGGAGAAGAAGGUAGAGGAAGAGAUGGAGGAAAGAGAUGAUAGAAACGAGGGAGGAUGGGACAAACAAGAGGGAGAAGAAACAGCAUGCAAGAGCGAGGGAGAUAUGGGCAAAAGAGAGGAGAGAGAGGUAUUAAAGGAAUUGGAUAAAACAGAGGAAAAGGAUGUGGAGGUUAGGGUGGGAGUGGAGGAGAAGGAACAAGGAGGAAUGAUUGAAGAAGAGGAUGACAGGAUAGCAGGUGAUGAAAGGGAAGUAGGAGAAGAGGACACAAAGCAGGAAGAGGUCAUUUAUGAAGAGAUGAUGAGCAUAGUAGCAAGGGAUGACAUGAUGGAAAGUGGAGAGAGGAAGGAUAGGGAAAGAGAGACUGAGGGAAGUACAUUUAUAGAGGAGGUGAUAGAAACCAAAGAAGAUGGAGAGAUGAUUGGAGUACAACAGAAAGAGAUCAUGAAAGAGAUAGAUGAGAGUAAGGCAAGUGAAGAGAUGAGUGCAAAAGAAGAGGCGAAGAGAGCGGUGGAAGGAUUGGAUACCAUGGGAGAGACUGAGGAAAAGGCAGCUGAAGAGAGGGUGGAAGGAUUGGAUACCAUGGGAGAGACUGAGGAAGAGGCAGCUGAAGAGAGGGUGGAAGGAUUGGAUACCAUGGGAGAGACUGAGGAAGAGGCAGCUGAAGAGAGGGUGGAAGGAUUGGAUACCAUGGGAGAGACUGAGGAAGAGGCAGCUGAAGAGAGGGUGGAAAAGAUAUCGAUUGAUAAUGAGAAACAGGACCUAGAGGCACAGCACGUUUUAGAGAGAAGACAAAGAGAUGUAGAUCUUAUAAAGGAUGUUGUGGCAGAGGGAUAUGAGGAGAGAGAGAAAGAGAUGGAAGUGGGAGAUGUAAUCAGGGAGGAAGAAGGAGAUAGUAUACGUGUGGUCCAACAGGAGAUAGAUGAGAAGAAGAAGAAGAAAAAGAAGAAGAAAGGAGAGACGAAAGAGCAACUAAAGACACCAACAAUAGAGGAAAGAGAAGAAGAACUGAAAGACAUCAAGAUAAACAGCAAAAAAAAAUAUGAUGGAGAAAAUGAAGCGAUGGAUAGUAAAGUGGGGUCUGAAAAAGGGGCGGGGAGAGUGCUGGUCGUGUCUAAACAACAAACACCCCCUAAAGUGUAUCAAGCAAGAUCAGUGCCAGUGGUACCACCCAAGCCACAUCACUGCCGAAUAACUGCACUGAACCUCAGACAACAGCAGCACCAGAGGGAGAGGAGAGAGACAGACAGAGACAGUGGAAAGGGAAAGGUACACAGGACUUUGGGACAGCAAGAUAAGGAGAGAAAGAUGGAAGGAAAGCCAGAGCAUGACAAAGUCAGCGAGACAGAACGAGGGUGGAAUGAGGAUGGGGAAGAUGAGGGCAGAGGCAAAAAGGAGGCACAGAGUGGGGGGGUGAGGGAGAGGAGGAGAGAUGUGGAUGAGGGGGGAGUGAAAGACAUGAUGAAGAACAGUCCAAUCAGUAUGUGUUUUGAUGAAGCUGUUGCCAUGGGAAUCAAGAGAGGGAGAGAGAAAGAGGGCAGUGAAAGGGAGAAAAAAAAAGAGAGAGGAUAUGAAGUACAAUAA